UAGUGCAGGCUCUUCAUCUUAGAUCUAUGACUUUCACAGAAUCACAGUCAAGAUGAGGUUGGAAGAGACUUCUGUGUUCCUCUUGUCCAACUGCAGGUCAAGCAGGGGUACCCAGAAAAGGUUGAACAGGACCAUGUACAGGACCAUCUGUAGAGCAUCUCCAAGGAGUCAGACUCCAUAAAUACAAUUCCAGAUCUGUGAAUAACUGGUCACAUCUUCUACAAUUAGAAGAAGUAGCACAAAGGGUGCGAGACUCAUCUUCCUGAAACAUUAUCCAGCAUUUACUUUGAACAAACUAUUUUUUUUUAAAUAUCUAACUAACCAAAUAAAUAUGAUCCUGCACACUAAUUCUAGUUUGCUAGAAUAUUCAUAGACAAACAAAAAGCAAGAAAUACAAUGCCUAAGCGAAUUCAUUAAAAAAAUUAAAUGAAUAUUUACAGAAAUAAUUCCCUGCA